rnacentral:rRNA from 1 species
GUGGGGAAUAUUGGACAAUGGGCGAAAGCCUGAUCCAGCAAUGCCGCGUGAGUGAUGAAGGCCCUAGGGUUGUAAAGCUCUUUUACCCGGGAUGAUAAUGACAGUACCGGGAGAAUAAGCUCCGGCUAACUUCGUGCCAGCAGCCGCGGUAAUACGAGGGGAGCUAGCGUUGUUCGGAAUUACUGGGCGUAAAGCGCGCGUAGGCGGUUUUUUAAGUCAGAGGUGAAAGCCCGGGGCUCAACCCCGGAAUAGCCUUUGAAACUGGAAAACUAGAAUCUUGGAGAGGUCAGUGGAAUUCCGAGUGUAGAGGUGAAAUUCGUAGAUAUUCGGAAGAACACCAGUGGCGAAGGCGACUGACUGGACAAGUAUUGACGCUGAGGUGCGAAAGCGUGGGGAGCAAACAGGAUUAGAAACCCCAGUAGUCC